rnacentral:pre_miRNA from 1 species
UCCACCUGCGCUACUCAAACUGUGGGGGCACUUUGUGCUGUGGACGGAAAGUGCCGCCUGGUUCUGAGCGUCGCCGGCGGA